rnacentral:rRNA from 1 species
UACGUAGGCAGCGAGCGUUGUUCGGAGUUACUGGGCGUAAAGGGUGUGUAGGCGGUUUCUUUAAGUUUGGUGUGAAAUCUCCCGGCUCAACCGGGAGGGUGCGCCGAAUACUGAGGGACUUCGAGUGCGGGAGAGGAAAGUGGAAUUCCUGGUGUAGCGGUGAAAUGCGUAGAUAUCAGGAGGAACACCGGUGGUGUAGACGGCUUUCUGGACCGUAACUGACGCUGAGACAGAAAGCGUGGGUAGCAAACAGG